ACGGAUUUUAUGAGGAGGUGUGUCUGCUGUGACAUCACAGCGCCUUCUGUAGAUAUAAGUAGUGAAGUUGUGAGAGUGUGACAGACUGAAGGAGAAGCAGCAGUUUGUUUCCUCUGAAGGUGAAGCCGCAACGUCUCCUCAGUUCAACCUGCAGAGCAUCAGACGGAUCCACAUCAGCAGUUUCAGCAGAAAUCUGACAAUGAAGGUGAGUUUGUGAACUGAUAUUUUACAGAUCUCAAAGUCCUGUUAAACUGUGAAGAGGCU